GCUGCCUUAGAGGAGUUGCAGGUGUGGCUGCUGCUGUGUCACCUGUGCAUCAGAAGGUGACAGAGAGGAAAGAGGCUGUGUCUCUCUGCUCAGUGUUGUGAACAGCUGGAUGAUUUGUGGUCUGACACU